GGCCAUAUCAUGUUGAAACACAGUUUCUCAUCCAAUCAUUGAAGUUAAGCAAUGUCAAACCUGAUCAGUAGCUAGAUGGGUGACUGCUUGGGAAUACCAUGUACUGUAA